GACGAACGCUGGCGGCGUGCUUAACACAUGCAAGUCGAACGGUGAAAGCGGAGCUUGCUCCGCUGGAUCAGUGGCGAACGGGUGAGUAACACGUGGGCAACCUGCCCCUCACUUCGGGAUAACUCCGGGAAACCGGGGCUAAUACCGGAUAUGACCUCCUUGGGCAUCCUUGGAGGUGGAAAGUUUUUCGGUGAGGGAUGGGCCCGCGGCCUAUCAGCUUGUUGGUGAGGUAGUGGCUCACCAAGGCGACGCCGGGUAGCCGGCCUGAGAGGGCGACCGGCCACACUGGGACUGGGACACGGACCAGACUCCUACGGGAGGCAACAGUGGGGAAUAUUGCGCAAUGGGCGAAAGCCUGACGCAGCAACGCCGCGUGCGGGAUGACGGCCUUCGGGUUGUAAACCGCUUUCAGCAGGGAAGAAGCCGCAAGGUGACGGUACCUGCAGAAGAAGCACCGGCUAACUACGUGCCAGCCGCCGCCGUAA
rnacentral:rRNA from 1 species